rnacentral:rRNA from 1 species
GACAGAGACUGCAAGCGUUAUUCGGAUUCACUGGGCGUAAAGGGUGCGCAGGAGGUUUUGUGUGUUAGGCGUGAAAUCCCGAGGCUCAACCUCGGAACUGCACCUAAAACUACAAGACUAGAGUACUGGAGAGGGUAGCGGAAUUCACGGUGUAACAGUGAAAUGCGUAGAUAUCGUGAGGAACACCAAAGGCGAAGGCAGCUACCUGGACAGUUACUGACUCUCAGGCACGAAAGCGUGGGGAGCCAAAGGG